CCCAAGUCAAACCUGUAGAUAACUGGAGACCCGGCUGAUACCUUGACCGUAACCUCAUGAGAAACCCCAAGCCAGAACCACUCAGCUGAGCCACUCUUGAAUUCCUGAGCUGCAGAAGCCGGGUGAUAAUAAAGGCUUAUUGCUGUUUCACAUUAUUGGCUUUGGGUAACGUGUGAAGCAGCGAUGGGCAUCCGACGUGAUGAGGCAUCUCCAGGUGCGGGGAAGAAAGCUGAAACUUUGGGGUCAGAGAGACUCGUGUUGCAAUCCAACCCUCCAACUCCUGCUUGUUGGGCUGAAGCCAUGUUCUUUACCUCCUGGAGCUCCCAUUUUCUAUCUGUAACAUGAGAUGAUGCCUGCAGAACCCCAAGAUACAGCACCACACCACCCUUCUCAGUUUCCUUGCCUUCUCACUCUUCAUAGCCAAUUGAGACAUGCCGUUCUCAGAGCAGAGAAGCUAAAAAAGGUUACGUUGUCAAGAGGCACUGAAGAGUAUGGCAAUCCUGUGACUCAGCAUCGCUACCUUGAUUUUUCAGCUGAUCAAACUAAGGCUCAGAAAGGCGAGUCUGAAUCGCUCAAAGUUCCUUUGGUUGCAAGCAACAGAAACGAACUGAAUCUCACUUCACCUAAAGAGAGAAAGUCGUCGUAAGAUGCAGCGGUCAUUUGGGGAACCCAAGCUCACGUGUGAGCACUGGGCAGCGUCCCAGAAAUGACAAGAACCAGGAGAGGGAGGCAGCAGAGGGCUCGGGGAGUGUUGCUUCUCCUUCUCUCCCCUUGUCUCGACUUGGCUGCUGGGCUGCCUCUGUCUUUUUUCUCUGAAGACUGACUUUCUCAGCUGCUCGGUGCAAAUAGUUGGAGGAAUGGCAGCCUCCCACAGCUUCCAGGUUCACACAUUAUCAUGCCAACCAUAGGAGAGACUGCCCUUCUGCCUCCCUCUCUCUGGAUUGCACAUUAGCACAGCAUGUCCCUUCAGCUCGGAUCUUGGAAUGAAGAAGACACACAGAGCAGAGCUGCAGCCACCCUGCAGUCACCUCCAACAGUGAGAAAUAAACUUUUGAGAACCGACUCGUCUGAGACCCAGUCUUGAGAGCAGGCCAUGCUGUGGCAGGCGUCCCACGUAUAAAGUGGAGCAAGAUGGGCACAGAUGUUAGCUCAGGGCCAGUCUUCCUCAGCAAAAAGAGGAGGAUUGGCAGUAGGUAGCUCAGGGCUGAUCUUCCUCAAAAACAAAAAAACAAAAGAAGGCGGGGAGGAGCAGGGGGCAGUCCCCCGGGGGGAUUCCCAGAUUUCUUUUUUUG
rnacentral:lncRNA from 1 species